AGCAACACGAGGUGAACAGAGGAAACUGCAGCCAGCUGAGUCCACUUGCAUACGACUCAAACAUCUCCCAGCAACCUCAGUUUUUUGCAUGUGGUGAGUCGUACCCAUCUGCAGCUGGUGUUACACCCUUUCUUCUCAUUCAGACAACUCUUCUUUCCACAGAAAGGUGCAGCCUCUGAGUGACUCUCCACAGUAACUCACAAGCUGUACGUUUCCAUGGCCCACAGGUACACAAGCAAACUUUUGGUCUUUUUCAAGGGAUGAUGGUGACUUAUGGUGACAACCAAGAACAGGCUUCAGAAAGAAAGCAGCUGUGUAGCUAUGGCCAAAUUGAACUUCUUGAGUCGGUGUCCUCGCUUGUAAAAUGGACAAUUCUACUGAAGGAAAUUGAAGGUCUUACCGACUCCAUCCAAGGAAUUGACAAGAGAUCCCCAAGAAGGUUGCAUAGAGCGAGUUCUGGGGGCUGGAAAUUCAACAUCAAGGCACAAGCAGAUCAGCAGAUUCAGUGUCUGGCUGCACUUCAAGUGUUCCAGGG
rnacentral:lncRNA from 1 species